UCUUCUUGGCUGUAAAUUGUAAAAUUUGCCUCAGACAAUCUCGGGACGCCGAGAGAGAAGGCAGCUUGGCUUGGGAGCCAUUCUGAAGGCCUGGGUCGGAAGAAAAAAAGAAAGAAAGAAAGGGCAGCCGCGGCUAGAAGGCCCGAAGAGACAGGCUCCGUUUCUGAAGCAGAAAUGGCAAAGCCUUGUGAAACGGACGGAAGAAAUAAAGGCAAAAUUUUUGAAAAUUGCCACAGCUUUUUCUGAAGGGACCAGCGCUGAAUUCAAGUCAAAAGGUCGAGAGACAGAGGACGGAAGAUGCUUGAAGACACCCUCGCAAGGACACCGCCUGCCUCCCAAAAAAGGUCGUUUUCAGGGUAAUUGGUGUAAGGGUAGGCAUUUAAUGUCUAUCUUUGCAUUAAAAAAAGGGUUACCUUUGCACACGGUUCCCCUCGCGUGUGGCAUCGAAGAAGUCCCACUCGGGAACGGACGGGUCCUCCCUUUGUUCUAGGCAGAUGAUGGGUCUUCCUAUACGGGCCGUAGGGGUCACAGCUUGGGGGUCAGCGGGGGGCCCCGCCCUGGCAUCGCGGGGGGCAGCACACGUUACGGGCAUUUUAAGAUGUCCUUGCAACUUAGAAAUAAAAAUAUCAAUACCUUAACUCACUUACUAACAUCCUACUAACACCAUUCUAAAUAGGGUACCCUGCCCUUUUAAAUAGGACUGUGUUCUGCCUGAUGGCAAGAACCAAGCUGGGAAGGGAGGGGGCCUUCUGGCCCCCCAUAAAAGGGCCCCCAUGGAAGGACAUUGCAAAAGGUCCCUAAGGUGUCCUGAGAGCAGCCUCUUGGUCCUCAGUGUUCCCCACGGUGCCAGGGCUGGGCCCCUCGCUCUCCCCCAACCCAUGGACCCUGCCGCUUGUAUAUCAUCCGUCCAGGGCCAACGGACGCCCCCUCCCUCCCCGGGCGGAGCUUCGAGGCCACACUCAAGGGGAGACCAGAGCCGUGUGCCUCAUGCCAACGCCUAGCACGUGGCGAACCUUUUUUUUUACUGCAAACAUAGGCAUCAUGAUUGUGAUUUUUGUUAAUUCCUUUUAAAUUUAAUUGUUUGUAUUUGAUAGCAUGGUAGGCUGGUUUUAUAUCAGUGAGCCGCCCCGAGUCCCUCUGGGGAGACGGUGGCAGGGUACAAAAAUAAAAUUAUUAUUAUUAUUGAUUUGAGGCACCUGGAAAAAGAAAUACCAGGAAGCAGAUAAAAUUAUUAUUAUUAUUACUGAUUCGAGGCACCUGGAAAAAGAAAUACCAGGAAGCAGAUAUUAUUAUUAUUAUUAUUAUUAUUAUUAUUAUUAUUGAUUCCAUGAAAAAGAAAUACCAGGAAGCAGAUAAAAUUAUUAUUGUUAUUGUUGUUGUUAUUAUGUAGGACCCCCUUUUAUUUAUGUAAGGCCACACACCCAGGGGACCACUAUUCCUAAUUAAAGCCUGGUUAAAGGGGAUCCUCUAUUCUUAAAGUUAGGCGUAUAGAGAUCUCCUAUCCAGAAACUAACGCGGCCUGCCCUAUAGAGAUCUGUUAAACCAAGGUGGCCUGCCCUAUAGAGAUCUCCUAUUUCACGUAAUACCAGGCAAUAUGGAGAUCCCUGGUUUUUUUAACCGUUAAAUCCCUUACGUGGGGAUAUCCCUGUUUUUUUUUUUAACCGUUAAAUCCCUUACGUGGGGAAAUCCCUGGUUAUUUUAACCAUUAAAUCCCUUACGUGGGGAGAUCCCUGGUUAUUUUAACCUUUAAGUCCCUAACGUGGGGAAAUCCCUGGUUUUUUUAAUCUUUAAGGCCAGAUGUGGGGAUUUCCUUGCUUCUUUUAACCCGUAAGGCCAGCCAUGGGGAGAUAUCUUAGGCUGUUUUCACGAAAAGUCAGGUAUAGAUGCACUGUUUUCUCUCCCGUUCCAUGUGCCUGGACUCCCGGAGGGCUCCUGCCGGACACCGUCUCCCAUCGGCCGAGAGGGAUCCUUCUUGUCUGGGAAGGAUCUGCAACACAGGUAAAAAGAAGAUUCCGGGAAGGAGAUUCUACAGCGGAGCCCUUAAGCCAGGUGAGACACUCCUUCCAGCCUCCACGGCUGCCUUGCACACACACACACACAUGACACACACAACACACAUACACAUGUACAGCUGGGGUCCACGGGGACUCUUCCCCAAUAGAUCGGGGAUUCCCACUCCGGCGAUUGGCCAUUGUAAAUGCCUUGAAGCAGUUUGGGGCUUCCUGCCAAGCGCUUGCAAAGAGAAUCCAUUCAAGGUUGGACCCCCUUUUAAAGGGCCUGGCACGUGGUAUUUAUUCCUGGCACGUGGAAAACUCCAUUUGUAAGGCAAACCCUCGUUAAAGGAGGUUUGCAAUUAAUUUAAAACCAGGCUUCUGAGGGACCCGCUGCGUUUAAAGCCAAACCUAGCAGGUGGGAACCCCUUUGGUUAACGUAAGGCGAGGGACCCUCCAUAUUUAAUAAGAUGCCUGGCAGAAUCUUAACCUAAAUGCAGGCCUAUGGGCUACAGCCUAUUCUGCAUAGCCAGGCAUGGGGGGACCCCAGAUUAUUAACUUGAGGCCUGGGAAAAGGAGAUUUUUGUAUUUAUUUAUUACAAUAUUUAUAUCCUGCCCUCUCUCCCCUUAAAAGGGGACUCAGAGCAGCUUACGUUAUAUUUACAUAUUUAUUUAUUACAAUAUUUAUAUCCCGCCCUCUCUCCCCUUAAAAGGGGACUCGGAGCGGCUUACAAGUGAUAUUUACAUAUUUGUUUAUUACAAUAUUUAUAUCCGGCCCUCUCUCCCCUUAAAAGGGGACUCAGAGCGGCUUACAAGUGAUAUUUACAUAUUUAUUUAUUACAAUAUUUAUAUCCCUCCCUCUCUCUCCUUAAAAGGGGACUCAGGGCGGCUUAACAAUAAGACGCAUAUAUAAAAAACCAUAUAGUGCAAUAUAAAUCAUCAUUAACUUACAUCAGUAUUCAUAAAACACAUUAUAAAAUACAGAUAGGUGUGUUCAGUUCAAAUCCAUUCAAGGUAUACGUGGACCCCCUUUUAAUGCCAACCUUUCCACGUGGAAAACUCCAUUUGUAAGGCAAACCCUCGUUAAAGGAGGUUUGCAAUUAAUUUAAAACCAGGCUUCUGAGGGACCCGCUGCGUUUAAAGCCAAACCUAGCAGGUGGGAACCCCUUUGGUUUAACGUAAGGCGAGGGACCCUCCAUAUUUAAUAAGAUGCCUGGCAGAAUCCUAACCUAAAUGCAGGCCUAUGGGCUACAGCCUAUUCUGCAUAGCCAGGCAUGGGGGGACCCCAGAUUAUUAACUUGAGGCCUGGGAAAAGGAGAUUUUUGUAUUUAUUUAUUACAAUAUUUAUAUCCCGCCCUCUCUCCCCUUAAAAGGGGACUCAGAGCGGCUUACGUUAUAUUUACAUAUUUAUUUAUUACAAUAUUUAUAUCCCGACCUCUCCCCUUAAAAGGGGACUCAGAGUGGCUUACAAGUUAUAUUUACAUAUUUAUUUAUUACAAUAUUUAUAUCCCGCCCUCUCUCCCCUUAAAAGGGGACUCAGAGCGGCUUACAAGUGAUAUUUACAUAUUUAUUUAUUACAAUAUUUAUAUCCGGCCCUCUCUCCCCUUAAAAGGGGACUCAGGGCGGCUUACAAGUGAUAUUUACAUAUUUAUUUAUUACAAUAUUUAUAUCCCUCCCUCUCUCUCCUUAAAAGGGGACUCAGGGCGGCUUAACAAUAAGACGCAUAUAUAAAAAACCAUAUAGUGCAAUAUAAAUCAUCAUUAACUUACAUCAGUAUUCAUAAAACACAUUAUAAAAUACAGAUAGGUGUGUUCAGUUCAAAUCCAUUCAAGGUAUAUGUGGACCCCCUUUUAAUACCAACCUUUCCACGUGGAAAACUCCAUUUGUAAGGCAAACCCUCGUUAAAGGAGGUUUGCAAUUAAUUUAAAACCAGGCUUCUGAGGGACCCGCUGCGUUUAAAGCCAAACCUAGCAGGUGGGAACCCCUUUGGUUAACGCAAGGCGAGGGACCCUCUAUUUUUAAUAGGAUGCCUGGGAGAAUCUUAACCUAAAUGCAGGCCUAUGGGCUACAGCCUAUUCUGCAUAGCCAGGCAUGGGGGGACCCCAUAUGAUGAAUUUGAAGCCUGGUAAAAGGAGAUUUUUGUAUUUAUUAACUUAUUACAUUUAUAUCCCGCCCUCUCUCCCCUUAAAAGGGGACUCAGAGCGGCUUACGAGUUAUAUUUACAUAUUUAUUUAUUUAUUACAAUAUUUAUAUCCCGCUGUCUCCCCUUAAAGGGGACUCAGAGCAGCUUACGAGUUAUAUGUACAUAUUUAUUUAUUUAUUACAAUAUUUAUAUCCCGCCGUCUCCCCUUAAAGGGGACUCAGAGCGGCUUACAAGUUAUAUUUACAUAUUUAUUUAUUUAUUACAAUAUUUAUAUCCCGCCCUCUCUCCCCUUAAAGGGGACUCAGGGCAGCUUAACAAUAAAACGCAUAUAUAAAAACCAUACAGUGCAAUAUAAAUCAUCAUUAACUUACAUCAGUAUUCAUAAAACACAUCAUAAAAUACAGAUAGGUGUAUUACAUACACUGUAUCAUUAGCAUCACACAAUAUUAGCAUUAUAUACUACAUUGCAUUAUACCACUAUACAGAAACAUUAUUAGCAAUAUUACAUUUAAUAUAUAAUAUGUAAUUCAUAUUAUUAUAUUGUAUCAUUGUUAGUAUUAUAUUGCAUUAUUUAUUUAUUUGCUAGAUGUAUAUGCUGCCCUUCUCACCCCCAAGGUGAACGGCUUACAAAUUAAAUUUACAUACAAUAUUAUAUUAUUACCAUAGUACAAUACUGGCAGUAAAUUACUAUAUUGUACUAUAUGAAUAUAUGGCAAUAUUAUUAGUAGUAUUACAUGCAAAAUGUAAUACAUAAUUAAUAUUAUUAUAUUUAAUUAUUAGUAUAUCGUUUUACAAUAUAAUAUGAACAUUAUAUGUAUAUGCAAUAUGUUAUAAUUAUAUAUUAAAUUUUACAUAUAUAUAUACACAGUAGAGUCAUCCAACAUAAAUGGGCCAGCAAAUAUUUAUUUAUUUAUUUACAGCAUUUUACCGGGCUGGCCUCGAACUCAUGACCUCCUGGACAGAGUGAUUUGUUGAUAUUUAUUAUUCAUUUACAGCAUUUAUAUUCCGCCCUUCUUUCUCACCCCGAAGGGGACUCAGGGCGGAUCACAUGACACAUAUAGGCAAACAUUCAAUGCCUUUUAACAUAGAACAAAGACAAACAAACAGGCUCCGAGCGGGCCUCGAACUCGUGACCUCCUGGUCAGAGUGAUUCAUUGCAGUUAAUUGCAGCUGGCUUGCUUUCCAGCCUGCGCUGUUGGAUAAUAAGGAGGCAUUAUGGAAAAGCCUAUUAAACAUCAAAUUAGUUGAUGAUUUUACAAAUUAAGCACCAAAACAUCAUUUGACAGAAAAAGUAGUUCAAUAUGCAGUAAUGCUAUGUAGUAAUUAUUUACGGAUUUAGCACCAAAAUAUCACGACGCAUUGAAAACAUGGACUACAAAAAUGCGUUGAAUAAUCCAGAAUGUUGGAUAAGAGAGUGUUGGAUGAGACUACUGUAUAUACAAUAUAAAUUAGAAUAGCAUGUUAUUGGGGGAGGAGCAUCUUGGUUAUUAGAUGUUUUUAUUAGUUAUUGAUAUUAGUAUAGAUAUGACAUUGAGUAUAUAUUAUCCUAGCACAAUGUUAAUAUUAGUUAUUCAUAUUAGUCUCAAUAUGACAUUAAUAGAGUACAUUAUUAUCCUAGCACAAUGUUAUUACAUAGGACCAUGUUGUUGCUAGGGGGAGGCCCCCCCCCACUGAUUGUAUUAUUAGUAUUAUGUUGUUGCUAGGGGGAGGGCCCCCCAACUGAGAUCCCCUGUCAUUAAUGUGUCAGACCAGGCAUUUCACUCCUACCUUUGCAUCAGAAAGCAGGCUCCCUGUGCGCUAGGCCUUCCUUUGAGGAACACAUUCACGGCUCCGCUUGAGUGUGGCAUUGAGGCCCCACUCAGGGACGGGCGGGUCCUCCCUUUGCCCUGGGCAGAUCGUGGGGGGUGGGCGGAUCUCCCUAGACGGGCAGGGGGUCGCGGCUGGCGGGACAGCGGGAUAUAAAAAUAUAAAUAUAUAUAUUAAAACCCUUGCACCCAAGGAAACAACUCUGGGGACCCGAGCGGCUGCUCCCAGCUCACGUCACGGGCAUUUUAAACAUCUCUUAGCAGCUCAGAUUAAUACCUGAACUAACCUUAACCUGCUAACCCUACUAACCCAUUUCUAACUAGAGCAGGAAUUUUAAAUAGGGCUGUUUUUGCCUGUUGGCAAGAACCAAGCUGGGAGGGGGCCUCCGGGCCUCGGGUGGGAAGAACCCUGUCCCUGCCCUGCGCUGGGAGCGCCCCCCCUCGGGACCCCAGUGUUUGGUCCCCGCUCUCCCCCAAUCCGACGGCCUAGAAAGCCCCUCCGCCAUCCGCCCAGGGCCAACGGACAGCCCUCCCUCCCCGGCAGCCGCGUUCCUCAUGCAACAGGGAGCCUGGUUCUGGAUGCAAACGUGGGACCCCCUUAGGACCCCCUUUUCUCUGUGCAGGGACCCCCGCUCCCCAUAAAUAAAUGCCUGGUGGAAGGGGAUCCUAGUAGAAAAAGCCACAGUUCCCAAGAGCCCCCAAAAGCGAGAUGCUCCCUUGGUUCAGCCCUUCUGACACUUGUUUUCUCCCUUGUUCUAUGUCUCCGGAAUCGCCGAGGGAGGGGCUCCUCCUGGACAAGUGCCAAGGACGGACAGAUGGACGGACGGACGGAAGGAGAUCCCAGAGAGCAGGACGCCUUGCCUUUCUGGCUGCUGAGCUCGACCCCUUUCCAACAAUGUCAGCGUUCAAGAAUAAAACUCUUCCCAAAAAAAGGUGUUUUCUGGUUAUUAUUCAAACGUUUACUUUUUGACAGCCUUAAACAUCUAGAUUACAAUACAGUUUGUGCUGCUGCCUUUUAUAAACCUUGUUUUCUACAAAUAAAGUCAAGAGAAACACUAA